rnacentral:rRNA from 1 species
GACGAACGCUGGCGGCGUGCCUAAUACAUGCAAGUAGAACGCUGAAGGAGGAGCUUGCUUCUCUGGAUGAGUUGCGAACGGGUGAGUAACGCGUAGGUAACCUGCCUUGUAGCGGGGGAUAACUAUUGGAAACGAUAGCUAAUACCGCAUAAUAGUAGAUGUUGCAUGACAUUUGCUUAAAAGGUGCAAUUGCAUCACUACCAGAUGGACCUGCGUUGUAUUAGCUAGUUGGUGAGGUAACGGCUCACCAAGGCAACGAUACAUAGCCGACCUGAGAGGGUGAUCGGCCACACUGGGACUGAGACACGGCCCAGACUCCUACGGGAGGCAGCAGUAGGGAAUCUUCGGCAAUGGACGGAAGUCUGACCGAGCAACGCCGCGUGAGUGAAGAAGGUUUUCGGAUCAUAAAGCUCUGUUGUAAGAGAAGAACGAGUGUGAGAGUGGAAAGUUCACACUGUGACGGUAUCUUACCAGAAAGGGACGGCUAACUACGUG